rnacentral:ribozyme from 1 species
AGGUGGAAGAAGAGGGAAAGUCAUUUUCUGCUUCUUCUUUUCUUCUUCUUCUUCUUCUUCUUCUUCUUCUCAUAAUUGUACACUAUUUUUAAAUUAUACUAAGUAUAAGAGAAUAACAAAUAAUGAUGAUGAUUUUAUGUUAAUUUCAAUACUUAGGUAAUAAAAG